rnacentral:rRNA from 1 species
UACGUAGGGGGCGAGCGUUGUCCGGAUUUAUUGGGCGUAAAGAGCGUGUAGGCGGCCAGGUAGGUCUGCUGUGAAAACUCGAGGCUCAACCUCGAGACGUCGGCGGAAACCAUCUGGCUAGAGUCCGGAAGAGGAGAGUGGAAUUCCCAGUGUAGAGGUGAAAUUCGUAGAUAUUGGGAAGAACACCGGUGGCGAAGGCGGCUCUCUGGACCGAGACUGACGCUGAGGCGCGAAAGCGUGGGGAGCAAACAGG